rnacentral:rRNA from 1 species
GACAGAGGGUGCAAACGUUGUUCGGAAUUACUGGGCGUAAAGCGUGUGUAGGCGGUCCACUAAGUCGGAUGUGAAAGCCCCGGGCUCAACCCGGGAAGUGCACUCGAAACUGGUGGGCUAGAGUAUCGGAGAGGUUGGUGGAAUUCUCGGUGUAGAGGUGAAAUUCGUAGAUAUCGAGAGGAACACCGGUGGCGAAGGCGGCCAACUGGACGAAUACUGACGCUGAAACACGAAAGCGUGGGGAGCAAACAGG